UUUCAUUACUAAAGACUAGGGAGGACAAAAAGCUCCUAUUCUGAAGAGGGCCACUCCCCUCUCUAAAAAAAAGGACUUACGUUCCCUAGCAUAUUUAGUCAACUAAUUGACUACUUUAUUCUGUUCUCUAAACACGGGAGAGAAAACAGGAUCAGCGCCAUGAUACCCGAUAACAAAACCCAACCCCACUAAUUCUUUCCCAUGAAGCCAUCAUAGUUUAUCAUAAUACACUCUUCGGGAGGAGUCCACUAUGUUUGACAGGGGAUAAUCUCUUGCCUAAAUCCAUCAGGAAUCUUGGCCAUGUCAUAAGCAGCCACCAAAGUCUAGUGUCAGCCGCUGCCUGCAACAGUCCCCGGUCACCGCUCACAUGCAUUCCAUCAAGGAUCCACUCACCAGAGUUCCAAGUAUUCCCAUGCAAAAUUACUCCAAAAGCUGCCACAAAGAAACUGAGAACCGACAAGAGAAGAAAAAAUGAUCAAUGGUUUCAGGUACUAAUCCACUCCAAGAAAGAAAACCUCAUAUUUAGAGACAUUAACCUUAAGAUUAGUGAUCGAUUCAAACACACGAAGGAUAUCAAGAACAACUCGAUGAGAAUAGGGGUUUGUACAAAAGCAAAGCGAGAUGUCAUCAGCAUACAUCAAAUGAGAGACCUUACAAGACCUUUUGAAAGAGAAAUGAAUAAUCAGCCCCCUCUCACAAGCAUGCUCAAUCAAAAAUGAAAGGAGCUGAGAUACAAGAAUGUAUAAAUAGGAAGAGAUUGGAUCUCCUUGAUGAAUACCCCUAUUCCCUCUAAAAUAAUUGGACGAUUGUCCAUUUACCAUGCAAGCAAAAAAAGGAGAGGAUAUACAGAUCUUAACCCAAGAAACGAAUUUAUCAGGAAAUUUAGCCAACUGAAAGUUUUCAAGAUAGUCGAUCAGGACACCUUAUCAUAAGCCUUUUCUAAAUCAAGAAUAAGAAUAACGUAUGGGUUCUUACCUCUAGAAUUGAAUAAGGCAUGUAUGACCUCCUAGGCAAUCAAAAUAUUAUCAUAAACAGAAUGCUCCUGAAUAAAAGUAAACUGUUCACAAGAGAUAAGAGAUUUCAAAUGGGGUUUAAUACGAUUAGCCAAAACUUUAGCUAACAUACAAUAAUUAACAUUACACAAAGAAAUUGGUCGAAAAUCCUUGACUUUCCUCGGAAUUUUGAUUUUUGAGAUAAAGGCUAUGAAAUUUUUAAACCAAUCAGUGGGAAGGAAUGUAUGAUCAUAAAAGGAAUGAAAGGCCUGAACCAAAGAAUAAGAUAUAAUAUUCCGGUAAAAUCGAUAGAACUCUAUAGUGAACCCAUCCAGACUCAGAUUCUUACCUAGUCCUAACAAGGGCAAAGCAUCCCAAAUCUCGCACCUACUAAAAGGCCAGGCCAAACAAUUCCCAUCCUUAGUACACAAGCCCCAAUCGGGGGGAAUGGGAAACUCAUGCAUCGCUGGGUGAGGGGCCAAGUUCGAGUGACAUAGGUUCAAAUAAAAGGAUACAAACUCAUUCCCACUGAGGGUGGAAUCAGUGAUAAUGGAUGAUCCCGAGUAAAGUUGGUGAAUGAAAUUAUUCCUACGUUGAGUGGACACUGAGGACUGGUAAAACUUAGUAUUAGAAGCCCCUUCAUUAAUCCACUUGGUCUUUAGCCUGAGACCACAACUUCAAAUUAAUUUGCUUGAGCAAAGUAGCACUCUUAUGAUGUAGACAAGAAAGAUGCAAACUUUCAAACUAAGACCGACAUCAGCCUCUCUCCCCUCUAAAUAGACAAUCUCUUGUUGGAUACCAGACAAAGCCUCCUUGAUCUUACCUAAACAAUUUUUAUUCCAAAAGGAAAGAGGCUUACAAAGAUUGCACAAGUAAGAAGAAAAAGCAGCAAUCGGGGAUUGGCCCGAAGGAUCCCACGAACCCCAAACACUCUAAAUGAUACUUAAAAAAACAGGAGGAAGGUGUUUGACCACUGAGUUACCAAAAAGAUCCAACCAUUUGUGAUUAGCAAAAAGCUCUAUCCAAUCUAAUAAGGAUGCGAGCUGGACCCCUACGGUUGUUACACCAGGUAUACCUAGGACUAAUGAAACCUAAAUCCGAUAAAGCAGAAACCGCAAGAAAACAAUUAAAGCGCCUGACUGAAGAACAAAAAGAGAAAGGAGACCCUUCCAACUUAUCCUGCGCAUUAGAUAUACAAUUAAAAUCCCCUAAGACAAGCCAUGGGAAGUUACUCGAAUCAGCCGAAGAAAGUGAAUCCCAUAAAAGAUUACGGUUUAAGAUUGAGACUCUAGAGUAAAUUCCAGAAAAAAUCCAAGGAUCUGAGUCUCUAAAUUGAAUCA